GUUAGGAAUAUUGGACAAUGGGCGCAAGCCUGAUCCAGCCAUGCCGCGUGAGUGAUGAAGGCCUUCGGGUUGUAAAGCUCUUUAGCCGAUGAUUAUAAUGACUGUAGUCGGAAAAUAAGCCCCGGCUAACUUCGUGCCAGCAGCCGCGGUAAUACGAAGGGGGCGAGCGUUAUUCGGAAUCACUGGGCGUAAAGCGUGCGUAGGCGGCUCUGCAAGUUGCGAGUGAAAGCCCAGGGCUCAACACUAGAAUUGCUCUCAAAACUAGAAGGCUCGAAUUCGGGAGAGGAUAGCGGAAUUGUCAGUGUAGCAGUUAAAUGCGUAGAUAUUGACAGGAACACCAGUGGCGUAAGCGGCUAUCUGGACCGAUAUUGACGCUGAGGCACGAAAGCGUGGGGGUCAAACAGGAUUAGAAACCCGUGUAGUCC
rnacentral:rRNA from 1 species